rnacentral:rRNA from 1 species
GACAGAGGUGCCGAGCGUUAGGCGGAAUCACUGGGCUUAAAGCGUGUGUAGGCGGGUCGUUAAGUGCCUUGUGAAAUCCCACGGCUCAACCGUGGAACUGCUGGGCAUACUGGCGAUCUUGAGCCAGCUAGGGGCAACCGGAACAAACGGUGGAGCGGUGAAAUGCGUAGAUAUCGUUUGGAACGCCAAUGGUGAAAACAGGUUGCUGGGGCUGUGCUGACGCUGAGACACGAAAGCCAGGGGAGCGAACGGG